GUCAGUGAGCAGCUACAGCCUUUCUGCAAUUGUUCUUAUUUAUAUAAUCUGUCCAUGUAGGAGCUGAGUCGUAGCUGAAGAUCCUUUGAGUCUGUACUGUGCAAACCUGAAAAAAAAACAACAGAUUCCACCUUAUGGAGUGCAAGAUGCUGGAAGCACAGUAGCUUUGAAUUUCUUCAGUUCAGCUAAAGGUAGGUACUAGAAGACAACAAACAUCUCCUUAGCUUUCUCACCCCCAGUCUGAACAUCCCCAGUGCUUUCAGCAUCUCUGCAUGCAGCAUGUGCUUCAGCACCCAAUCAUGCUGAUGGCCUUUGGCUGGGCUCUCCCCAGGAUGUCAGCAAACCAUGUUGCAUCUUAUUGGUGCCAUCAGCUAUGAGUGAGGACAUUUACUGUGGCUCAAGUGAC